CAGCUAUAACUUAAUACAAUUCUUGUGGAGGGGAUCCAUACUGCAACACCAACUGGGCUCAUGUGUAUUUUAGAAGCAUCAGUGAAAAUCUUAUGCCAAUUUUGGAAAUCUGAAUGCAUAACAUGAGAAAAUGUUUUGUUAGCUUCUAUGGUGAACUUAUUAAUGCCCAGAUCUAAAAUUAUUAAGGGUUGGAAGGGAGACGUCUUUUGUUGGUGAAUAAAACUACCCUACUUUUGGAAGGUGAUAGUGUUAGCCCAUGUUGCAAGAGGUAUGAUGAGAGAUAUUCUAGAGCAUGACUCAAACGAAUAGAAGAAGCCUGUAUAGACUUAUCAGAAGUAUAUAGAACAAUAUCAUCUGCAUAUUGCAAGAUUUGGCAAAAGGGGGUAACUGUGCUAGAAAUAUCAGAGGUAUACAGGUUGUAUAGUAAAGGACUGAGAACAGAACCUUGAGGUAAACCUUUCCAAACUGUUUUAGGAGGUAGGUAUGAGGAUGGGCCUUUAAUGGUAAUUGUUCGCUCCAUUAGCAUAUUGCAUAUGAAUCGAGUUAACUUCGCUGGAAUACUCAGCUGAAUGAGUUUGCUCCUGAGCAGAGGAAGAGACACGUUAUCAUAUGCGGAUUCUAUAUCUAGAAAAACUGCCAAAAGAGGUUCUUUUUGGAAAAGGGCUAAUCUUAUAUCAGUGGUAAGGAUACCCAAGCUAUCUAAUGAGCUCUUCCCCUUUCUGAAUCCAAACUGGGAAUCGGAAAUGAGGUUAUUGUAUUCAACAAACCACUCAAGUCGAUGUUUGAUCAUAUGUUCACAUAUUUUUGCAAGAGCAGGUGAUAGGGCAAUAGGUCUAUAACUGGUGGCUUUAGAUGGACUCUGACCUGGUUUGAGUAUAGGAAUGAUCACUUGAUUUUUCCAAGAUGGAGGUAUGGCACCGACAUCAAAUAGGUUAUUGAUAAUUUUGAGAUAAUAUUCUUGGGAUCUGAUUGAAGAUUGUUUAAGGAAAGAAUAGGGGAUGCCAUCGGCCCCGGGAGAAGUGUCAACUAAGCCAUCCAAUGCCAGAAGGAGUUCUGAAAAAGAGAAAGGGGAGUCUAAACUAUGAGUUGAUGAGAGAGGGAUUGGAGGUGAAGGGAGAUAGUCUUCAUUAGGAACUGAAGGGGGUGACAACCUAUCUGCAAAGGAUUCAAGCCAUACAGAUGGAUCUACACUUGAGUCAUGCUCCGAAGGAUUGUAAGAACCCCUAAAUUUUUUAACUUGUUUCCAUACAAUUGUAGAUGGAGUACAGGGAGAUAAGCUCUGGCAAAAAUUGAUCCAACCUUGUUUUUUCUUUUUGGCAAAUAAAUUAGUGGCCUUGG